CACGUAGUCAACCUGCCCUGGAGACACGUAUAACCCCGGGAAAUGGGAUUAAUCCGUGAUAGGUCAUCUCAUCUGGAAGGAGAGAUGGCUUAAAGGGAUGCGAGAGCUUCUUUCUUGUAUCCGCUUCAGGAUGGGACUGCGGCCGAUCAGGCUGUUGGUGGGGUAAUGGCCCACCAAACCUGUAACCGGUACGGGCCUUGAGAGAGGGGGCCCGGAGAUGGACACUGAGAGAAGGGUCCAGGUCCUACGGGGCGCAGCAGGCGCGAAACCUUCACAAUGCGCGAAAGCGUGAUGAGGUUAAUCCGAGUGGUCCCCGCUGAGGGGAUCUUUUGCCGGUCCUAAAAGCACCGGUGAAUAAGGGGUGGGCAAGUCUGGUGUCAGCCGCCGCGGUAAUACCAGCACCUCGAGUGAUCAGGACGUUUAUUGGGCCUAAAGCAUCCGUAGCUGGCUUUUGCAAGUCUCCGGUUAANUCAACCUGCUCAACAGAUUGGCCGCUGGAGAUACUACAAGGCUAGGGAGUGGGAAGAGNCA
rnacentral:rRNA from 1 species